CCAACCUAAUUCUGUGUCCCUUCAUGGUACUGAGUCUGGGGUCCCCACCUCUCUCUCUCUCUUUCUACCACAUUGGACCCACUUUGCGCUUUCGCUUCUGUGGGCAAACUUUCUCUGUGCUUUAGGCCCCCUCGUCUCACCAAUAACCAUCCCCAUCUCUGCCCAUCUGGGCAGCGCCUCAUGCCCUGGGUUCACAGAGUGUUGUCUAUACAGCAGGAGCAUCUCCAGGGAGCUUAUCAGAAACGCAGAGUCCCAGGCCCCGCCCUAGACCUACUAGGCCAGAAGCCUCGUCUUCACAGGAUCGCUGCCAGUGCUCGCGCUCAAGGACACGGAAAUUUGAGAGGCUGGUGCUGUGUCCCCAGCUAGUCCCAGCUAUCACCUCCUGAGAUCUUCCCAAUAUCCCGAGCAGAGGCCCGUCAUUACCAUUUGACAAACGAGGCGACGUCCACCAAGACGAAGAUGCAGAGCAGGGACUUGGGUCUGGUCCCCUGCCGGCCCCCGGGGACCCUCUGGCACAUCUCGGCCAGGUCUUCCUCCUCGACAGCGGGCACACGCAGUUCACCUCUGCUCCCCUCGCGUUCCCGGCCACGUCCCCGCAGCGCCUGCGACGCAGAAUUUCAUAUUACCCUGGGUCACCUCCUCACCACCACGUGCAAGGUCACCGGGGGAACAGGAGACAUUAAAGGGAUCAGCAAGGAAAAUAAUUACUGGGCUGAAAGACCCGAUAAUUGCCAAAUGAUUAAAGUUUGCAGAGAGCUGGAACUAUGGAGAUUGGCUAAUUGAUCUUCUUGACAAGGGUUAAGAAACAACAUCGCUACCUCUAACGAUAAUUGCAGAGUUCGCCAGUCCCUGGAGGGAAAGGCAAGACCCUGCCCCCCAAGAAAGUGAUCUGUGUGGUUACACGGCAACAGAUCUCACGUCCACCCCAGUCCUUCUCAGCACAGGGAGGAAGUUCAGGCACAGGCGCGGGGGUCAGGAUGGCCUGCUUUUGAAUCAGUGUCACGAUACUUCCUGGCUGUGUAGCUCCUGGUAAGUGCGUCUUCUGAGCCUCCGUUUUCUCUCCUAUAAGAUGGGUUUAACAACACAAACUUCCUAUGGUACUGGAAGUGUUGAGUCAUGUGUAAAUCGGUCCUUACAGGAGAGCCCAGUGGGGGGCCGGCACCUCCCACAGGGGCACCAUUUUGCCCCUGUAUCUUCUGCCCUUAGAAGCAGCAGUGACGGAGGACAACGUGGGGGCAGAUGAGUCCAGAGAGGAAAGCAGAGCCAGCUCAACUCAGGGAAACAAGGAGGCUCGUGAAAGGAGUCUCACUUCCCCCGGGGAGCCUUCCCUGGCUUCUCAGGGAGGACUCUCCGAUCCCUCCCCUCCAGGCACGCUACAGCAGAUGGUCUGAGUCAGGAGACCCCGGGCCACGCCGAUACGCGGGUGCUCACCCAGCGCAGAACGCAUCGGGGACCCCUCACCUGGUGCUCACGGGUACCCCUGGCUUGCUCCCACAUUCCCUUGGCCCCCAACUUACUGCCUUUGUCUUUGGAGCCUCGCCUCGGACUUGCUCUUCGGACUAAUAACAGGUUUGGCUUCUCCGGGUCAGACCUUUGUCUCUCUCAAUCCCUCUGUCUCUUUCUCUGUGUCUCUCUGGAUGUCUCUGCAUGUGUGUGUAUGUGUCUGUCUGUCUGUCUGUCUCUCUGUGUCUCUGUGUGUCUGUGUAUCUCACCUCGGCUCACUAGCUUUCAGGAGCCCCCAGCCUGGGUCCCCGGGCUCCGUGGUGGAUUUGUGGCAUUCUGUACCAGGACACCCCCAUCCCCCCUGGACCCCACCCGUUCCCACCCCAGCUCCGUCAUCAGGGCCUCCACGGCCCCUGUCCCUUCUCCUAGGGCUGGGAAGGCCACCGAACCCAGGCCCAUCAGAACUGUUCCCCAGGAAUUUCCUCCAAUGAGACUGUCUUCCUCUGGUGACAGAGGUCACAGGCUAUGAAAUCCCCCACAUCUGUCCCUCUGAUGCUGGUACCAGGGACACCUGCCUAACAUGCUGAUUAUCCCACAGACUGUUCAUCCUGGACUCCUGACCUGGGGCUCAUCACAUACCGCAGCUCGGUGGGUAAUAUUCCCACAGGCCUGGCACUCCCCUUCCUUGGCUCAUUUUGUCAGUUUUUUGGACAUAUUUAACAUAUGCUUACUAUUUACCAGACACAAUGCUAGUCUCAGUGCGACACAAAUAAACCCACAAGCAUGGGUUCUGUCUUCGUGGAACUUUCCCAUCAGUGCAGGAAAUAGGUGUUAAUCGAGUAAUGACACAAAUCAGUGUCUCAGCGCUGGUUCAAAGCGAACUGGGGUGGAAUCUGAGACUGGCCCGUGUACACGGAGUUUAGGAGAGACAGAGGAAAGGGACAAGCCACUCCACACAGGUAGGUGGCAGUUUAAUAAGCAAAGGUUCUUACUCCCCAGGCUUGUCUCGGAUGAGUGGAUCUCUGCACCCGCCCUCUAGAAUCUUAAAUGUUUAUGGAGAGGCCUUAAUGGGGUUCAAUCGCGUAAGAGUCCAAAUGGUCUCAACAACACCUUACUCUCCCCAGGACGAAUCCUGGGAACAGCUUCCACUAGGGAAGCGGAAGGCAGGGUGCACAUCCCAAGGACGCAGAGGGGGUAAGGAGCCUCUGAUUUCCUGGGUCCAGCUCACAAGUCAACUGGCUAUCCCGUCCUCUUGAAGACCUCCCCCAACAGUUCAUUUGAAUCCUGUGAAAAUACCAACUUUAGGACAUUUUCACUUACGAGGCCGGCCCUUUCAUAUGGUUCAACCUAAAGAUUAGAGUGGUAAAGCCCCAUGUCUAACUGUACCGAUGUAAGUAAUAAACCAAUAUUUGCCCAAAGCUCAAACCAAAAAUCCUACCUGUUUGUGUGGGUUUUCCCCCCAUUUGUGCACCUGUAAUUUUUAAAAAUAAAAGAGCGUGCACACACAAAAGCCUGACUUAACAUUGACUUUCUCUCUUCUUAGUUUCCUGUAUCCUGCAUGGCGUAACCCCGCCCUGAGAUUGAAAAGUGAGUCUGGCAAUUCAAACCAAAGCUAAGCAAAAGGAAAUAGAUAAAUAAAGUCCCUACGUGUGCCCCGGCUAUUUCUGCUGAUGGACCUUUUUCCUGACAUUUACUGACAACCAGCAUUUGAUGGCUUUCUCCCUCGCCCUGCCUCCCACGCCACCGGCAGCCAAUCUAAUGAUGAUGUAUUGAGACCAUUGCUGACAUAAGCAAGUAGGACUCCACGACAGCCACUCUGGUCCCAAAGCAGAUUUCCAGCAGAGAUGAGCCGCCCUGAAGCUCUCAGAGGACCGCUGCUCAGCCACGGCUCUCGGCAAGCCUGGGUGGGCGGCCAGGAGACCCCCGCGGGUGUUCUCGGAAGGAUGGGCGAGAUUUGUGCAACAACCAGCCCCAAGUGGGACAGGGGAGCGGAGUAAGGGGAAGCGUGGGGCAGAGUGAUGGUCCCAGCCAUCGCGCUGCAGCAUCUGCUAGGGGAUGGCCUUUCAUCUUCUAGUUAGCUGCCGUGCAGGCUUCUCUGGGAGCUUUUUGUAUGUAUUUGAGCAAACACCCUCCAAGACGGGGAGCUCAGAAUACAAGGCGUCGAGUUCAUCUGGGGCAUCCCAUGCCAUACCCAUUGUUGAUCUGUCCUAGACGUUAGGUUCCUGCACCGAGGGACUGGUGUCUCAACGAAGACUUUGUAACAUAAAUAGAUCAGGAAGCACAGGUCAUGCCUCCACCACUGGUCUUUGUAGACCUUCAGAGAUUCAAGUUGUCUCAUUUCCCCUUCUUCUUCUUCUUCUUCUUCUUCUUCUUCUUCUUCAAUGUCCACUUCCUUUCUCCUGGGGCAAGUAAAGUGUUCAGUGUGCCUGUGAUGGGACCGAUGCCACUGAACAAGAAUGAGCAAGGGAACUGAUUCUCAAACUUGGCCAAUCACUGACCACACUCAGGGUCACUCACCCUGGAUCCCUAAGAAAGCUCUGCACGGAUGUUCCGGAAGCCAAGGCUACUUUAACUUUGUUGGAGCCCACAGUCCAGCCGAGGAAGACAGACUUGAACGAGCCCCUCCUCUGGCUUUCUCCAGCAGCUUCUGUCCCGACUCUCCACCCUGUCCUGCCAGAGACAAGUGUGCAACUAGUAUGCCGGCGACAGUGCAACAUGGAACAAGCUGCCUAGGAAGAGAGUGGUAAUCUGUGAUGACUUUUAAAAAUGGAGACACCGUGGGGCGCCU